AAAAUGCGAUACUUGGUGUGAAUUGCAGAAUCCCGUGAACCAUCGAGUUUUUGAACGCAAGUUGCGCCCGAAGCCAUCCGGCUGAGGGCACGCCUGCCUGGGCGUCAAGCAUCGCGUCGCUCCCCACCAUACCUCCCCAACGGGUUGGCAUGGUGUUGGGGGCGGAUAAUGGCCUCCCGUGCUUGUGUUUCGGUUGGCCUAAAUAAGAGUUCCCUUCGGCGGACACACGACUAGUGGUGGUUGAAUAGACCCUCGUCUUUUGUUGCGUGUCGUGAGCUGUAAGGGUAGCCCUCAUCAAAGACCCCAUUGUAUCGUCUUCGGAUGAUGCUUCGACCGCGACCCCAGGUCAGGCGGGACUACCCGCUGAGUUUAAGC
rnacentral:misc_RNA from 1 species